UGAACAGUGACGUAAUAAUAGCAUCUCCUUUACAACCAAAGAAAGACGUAAAAGAUUUUCAAAAUGGACGUGGUUUUAGAUUUUGGCGAAGAAGCCGUGCAGGAUGUUGAGACAAAGUUGAAAAUUUUGAAAUUCAGCUACAGUUGGGCUGAUGCCAUGGAAGAAGAGGACAGAAGACAAGA